AAACCAUACAGCCCGCACGUCUAACCUAUGCUCAUUGACCGAGCCAUUCGGGUCUAGUGGCGCACGCGCCCCAUACGCCACGUAACCUGUGCUUACGGUCGGAGUGACUCCUCGAAAGGUGUGCUCCUACCGCUUAAUGUGCUCGCACCAAAGAUUUAUCGACCUUGCAAGGGCCUGCGUUCGAUUAGCUCGUUGCUAGGGUAAAACCCUACCAAGGCGAGGAUCCAUAGCUGCUCUGAGAGGAUGAUCCGCCACACUGGGACUGAGACACGGCCCAGACUCCUACGGGAUGCAGCAGUGGUUAAUAUUGGACAAUGGGCGAAGGCCUGAUCCAUCAAGGCCACGUGAGUGUUGAAGGGCUUAGGGUUGUAAAGCUCUUUUACCCGGGAUGAUAAUGACAGUACCGUGAGAAUAAGCUGCGGCUAACUCCUUG
rnacentral:rRNA from 1 species